GGGGACAGCUCAGUGGUAGAGUGUGUGCUUAGCAUGCGCAAGGUCCUGGGUUCAAUCCCCAGUGCCUCCG
rnacentral:tRNA from 1 species